GACGUAGGGGGCCAGCGUUGUUCGGAAUUACUGGGUGUAAAGGGUUCGUAGGCGGUGUGGCAAGUCGGGAGUGAAAUCUCUGGGCUCAACUCAGAGACUGCUUCCGAAACUGCUGUGCUGGAGUGUGGGAGAGGCGCGUGGAAUUGCAGGUGUAGCGGUGAAAUGCGUAGAUAUCUGCAGGAACACCCGUGGCGAAAGCGGCGCGCUGGGCAUGUCCUGACGCUGAGGAGCGAAAGUGUGGGGAGCGAACAGG
rnacentral:rRNA from 1 species